rnacentral:rRNA from 1 species
AGUCGAGCGAGCGGAACUAACAGAUUUACUUCGGUAAUGACGUUAGGAAAGCGAGCGGCGGAUGGGUGAGUAACACGUGGGGAACCUGCCCCAUAGUCUGGGAUACCACUUGGAAACAGGUGCUAAUACCGGAUAAGAAAGCAGAUCGCAUGAUCAGCUUUUAAAAGGCGGCGUAAGCUGUCGCUAUGGGAUGGCCCCGCGGUGCAUUAGCUAGUUGGUAAGGUAAAGGCUUACCAAGGCGAUGAUGCAUAGCCGAGUUGAGAGACUGAUCGGCCACAUUGGGACUGAGACACGGCCCAAACUCCUACGGGAGGCAGCAGUAGGGAAUCUUCCACAAUGGACGCAAGUCUGAUGGAGCAACGCCGCGUGAGUGAAGAAGGUUUUCGGAUCGUAAAGCUCUGUUGUUGGUGAAGAAGGAUAGAGGUAGUAACUGGCCUUUAUUUGACGGUAAUCAACCAGAAAGUCACGGCUAACUACGUGCCAGCAGCCGCGGUAAUACGUAGGUGGCAAGCGUUGUCCGGAUUUAUUGGGCGUAAAGCGAGCGCAGGCGGAAGAAUAAGUCUGAUGUGAAAGCCCUCGGCUUAACCGAGGAACUGCAUCGGAAACUGUUUUUCUUGAGUGCAGAAGAGGAGAGUGGAACUCCAUGUGUAGCGGUGGAAUGCGUAGAUAUAUGGAAGAACACCAGUGGCGAAGGCGGCUCUCUGGUCUGCAACUGACGCUGAGGCUCGAAAGCAUGGGUAGUGAACAGGAUUAGAUACCCUGGUAGUCCAUGCCGUANACGAUGAGUGCUAAGUGUUGGGAGGUUUCCGCCUCUCAGUG